AGCAGCUAUGCUAAUGAUGUCUCUGUUUCUGCUGGGAUCUUCAUCCCGUGGUAACUAGGAUUUACACAAGCUCCAGUCUGGAUCCAGAACACCUGAGAAGAGAUGAUGCUGACCCUCAGAGGACUGCAGAUGAUGCUAACCCAGAGACAACAUACAGAACUUCCACAUUUUGUGCCAUCAAAAUAAAAGUCCCGCCUCGAACACAUCAGCCAAGCAGAAUAACUUAUCAGCUGAUGCCGAUAUUUGAAAAAUUGGCCUUGGUGAUAUAUCGGUCGAUCACUACAGGUAAUCUGGGGAAAAUCAUUGUUUAAUUUACAGCAUCAUUUACUCUUACCAGACUCGUGCAGGAUUCUUGCUCUAUGUCUGGUCCACCCUUUUUCUGGCUGUGGUGCCUCCAUUGUCCUAACACUCUUCAGCAACCUGUCAAGAUCUUUAUAUGGUGGCCACCAGGACUUGGCAGCUGGUCCAGUCGUCCCUUCUCCCUCAAACUCCACGAUUAGAAAUCAACUGUUGUUGAGAGGUCAUCCACUAAAUGAAUGCCAAGUGUAGAGGAUGGCAGUGGAUAGUCAAAAAAGGAUUCCUGGUGGUUGAAGAGUGUGUUGGCUUGUUCUCAACUCUUUAUAUUGUGCAUCAUGGAAGGAUGCAGGAUGCAGGAAGAGGACCAGUCGCAUGUGGUUUUUCGAGCAGAUGUGGCCUGGUUUUGCAUUUCUGAGAGUCUUUUUAUUAUUUGACUGAGUGGGCAUGUUGGUUUCCUCAGAAGUCUUUUGAGUUUGUUUAGGUGAUUCUCAUACUUGAAAGCACUGAAGUUGUCAAGGACACCAUGCUUUUUCGCAUCAUCUGCAAGAUGUACAAGGCAGAGUGCAUUGUAGGACAAGAAUUGUGGACCAUACAGUUGACCAAAGUGAGAGACAACGAGCACCACCUACAAGUCAGAGGACCCAUCUUCAGCCACAAGAGAAGAAGCUAUCUCAUGAUGGUGCAUGUAGUCGAGGGGAAAACCAAAGACCAUGUUUAGGGAUGUUUCUUCAAGAGGUGAUGGACCGUGAUGAUGAUCAGCAUCUGUCUUAUUUCUGAAGCUCUCAUUAGUUCUUAAAGGCAUGUCAGUUCUUGGAAAUGUCAUUCUGUUUUCUAGGUACAAACCAUCCUGUGUGCAUUUUUCACAUCCGUGAUAGCCUGUGUGACCUUUAACAUUUUUCAGGAAUGCAUGGGCAGGUGCAUCACAGACCAUCGAAGAGAAAUUGAACAUCACUCCAUCGAAUUCAAAUCCUUUAGCUAAUUCAUUUACUUCAGAGAUGAAUUCUUGAAGUGUCUCUAGGAUGGGCCAGAACUGUGUUGCUGAGCUCUUAUAGAGUGGCAAACCAUCAAUGCUGACCUGAAGCUCAAAACGUGUGAAUGAUGCGCAGAAUGUCAACAAAUGUUGAGCAAUGAAUUCAAUGCCACAUGUGUAAUUUUGUGUUCAGUAGCCCAGGAUGCCAAAUCAUCAUCUAAUGAAUUUGGAUCUGAUUCUGAUUCUGUGUCUGAUUCACUGUCAUCAGGAACACAUCUUCAGUCUCAUCAACAUGAGAGAGACAGUCCAUGAAUGUAUCUUCAUCAUCAUUUUGACCUUGAAUGGUUUUACUGUGCAUCCAACCCAAUUCUUUCCCCCAAGUUGUUGCCUGUAUUGUCUGCAGUUGCUGAUCCACCUUGUCCUUUGCUUUCCGUCUCAGUGUCCAAUAGGAUGGUUCAUUUGAAGCCAUAGUAUUAAGACCUUAAUACAAACAACCCUAUUUUUUGUUUUUUGUUUACUGGCCUACCAAGUCAUAUGCAUUAACAUAAUGUACAUACCUUUAGUUGGUUGACGGAUGGUAAUGGAUAACUUUCUGUAGUCAAAUUAAACAAAGGAAAUAGUUAAAUGCAAAAAUGUAAAAUAACUACAUAAAAAAUAAACAAUUACAUAUCUAAAUUUUCAAUUGAACUGAUGCAUUUUGUGGGUGGUUAUAUAAAUAGUUUACAGUACAAUAUAGUAUAUCUGAUUUAAAUCAGAGAUUGACAAUCUGUAAUGGAGGUUUAAACAGAUUUAAUUCUUAAUCUUUCCCUGGAAGAGAUAAUAGGUGUGUUUGACUUGAAGCAGUGCUGUGCAGACCGAUCGGAAUAUGACAUCACAGUACCAGCUUCAUAUACUUUUGAAUCGCUCUCACGAUACUUUGUCAUAGUUUAAGCGGUGCUGCGCAGACCAAUUGAAGUUGAACAUAUCUGAAGUGUAAACUCUCACGGUCAGUUCUGGGUCUUGUGCAGUAAUAUGAUGAGCAGGUGUUUAGUGUCAUCACCUUACAUUAUUGAAAUGUUAUAUUGACCUGGAUUCAAGUUUAAAACUGGGAAAGAAGAAAUUAAGGGUCAUUAAUGUUGUGAAGCUGCAUAACAUCUGUUCAGAUGAACAUUUGUGUAGUCUGUUUCCUCCUGAGGUUUCUACCUUGUAGAGUUAAAUAUCUAAAAAUGAGUGUCUUUGUAACCAUUCUCAAUAGAUACUGAAACCAUUUUAAUGGUGCUUUUAAAUAAAAUAUUAAAUGUAAUAUGUGAGGUAAGCCAUGGCUAGGUGUACAUUUUACAUUUUUAAUAUAUGCUGUGAAGGUAAAGAACUACAUGAACUGAAGCCAUGAAUCAGCCCUUAAUUAUAAAAAACGGGGUGAUCAAUUAGGUCAACACUGAUCCAACAGCCCUGUCUGUAGUUAACCACAAAUAGCAGGUUCAGCGGUGUUUGAGAAGGCUUGAAGCUGAACUUUCCAGGAAGUUAUAUAGUUAUGUAGACAGGUAAGUGUUGGUGUGACUAAUUAUUGAGUUGUCUAUUGCUCAUAAUUAUGCUGUAGUUAAUUUAUAGGCAGGAUGUACAGUAAUUGCAUUAAAUACUGUAUAGACUAUUGAACAUUUGUCUAAAACAAUAGUGAAUUUAACAAACAUCUCAAGUUUAACAUUUACAAGAG